GAGCCUUGAAGCUAGACCUAUCCAUAUGUGAGACAAAAUCCCAUGCUUUUUUCCUUCAUUUUUAACUUUCAAUAUGAAACCCAGCCAUUCAUGUUUUUGAGGACUCAGGGAUCAACUGCAUCAUCUCAGAAGACAAUAGUCAACACUAUUGCUACAGUUCUCUGGUGCAAGAGGGCAAUUUAAUCAUGAGUUGUUCUGCACAGAGCCCUGAUGACUGAGGAUGCCAAGGAAAUGAGUUCUUCUAAGUAUCCCACCCCUGUCUUGCCCUGAGGCAAUGUGCACUUAAACAGAUGCAGAAAAGAAGGAGUAAGGAUGUUUGGUGGAGACUCCAGCCCAGGAGUCAUUACAGUCCUUGCCUGUGGGAGCCAGAGAUCCUGAGACCUGGACCAGAGACCUGUUGCCAUUGGACUCCCAAGGAGCUACCUGCACCAAGGAGCCCGGAGACCCCAGUGCCUUAUUGACUGCAGCUUCAGGAAGCCCAGUAGAAAGUGACCCAGGGAAGAUCAGAACACAAAGUCAACAUUUCAAAAUUUUCUGAGGAAUGGGAAUGCUGGAAAAUUUCAAUUCAGAUACUUCAAACAAUUUUUUUCGGAUAUGGUCAAAUUGUUUCAUUUCAAUAAUGUCAAAACAU